rnacentral:tRNA from 1 species
GCCCCCGUAGUUAAAUGGAUAUAACGCUAGCCUUCUAAGCUGGAGUUGCAGGUUCGAUUCCUGCCGGGGGCA